GAUGAAGAACGUAGCGAAAUGUGAUACGUAAUGUGAAUUGCAGAAUUCAGUGAAUCAUCGAGUCUUUGAACGCACAUUGCGCCCCCUGGUAUUCCGGGGGGCAUGCCUGUCCGAGCGUCAUUGCUGCCCUCAAGCACGGCUUGUGUGUUGGGCCUCCGCCCCCCGGCUCCCGGGGGGCGGGCCCGAAAGGCAGCGGCGGCACCGCGUCCGGUCCUCGAGCGUAUGGGGCUUCGUCACCCGCUCCGUAGGCCCGGCCGGCGCCCGCCGGCGACCCCCCUCAAUCUUUCCAGGUUGACCUCGGAUCAGGUAGGGAUACCCGCUGAACUUAAGCAUAUCAAUAAGCGGAGGA
rnacentral:misc_RNA from 1 species